AGGGAUCAUUACACAAUAACCAGGCGGGCUGGACACCCCCCGCUGGGCACUGCUUCACGGCGUGCGCGGCGGGGCCGGCCCUGCUGAAUUAUUCACCCGUGUCUUUUGCGUACUUCUUGUUUCCUGGGUGGGCUCGCCCGCCCUCAGGACCAACCACAAACCUUUUGCAAUAGCAAUCAGCGUCAGUAACAACGUAAUUAAUUACAACUUUCAACAACGGAUCUCUUGGUUCUGGCAUCGAUGAAGAACGCAGCGAAAUGCGAUACGUAGUGUGAAUUGCAGAAUUCAGUGAAUCAUCGAAUCUUUGAACGCACAUUGCGCCCUUUGGUAUUCCAAAGGGCAUGCCUGUUCGAGCGUCAUUUGUACCCUCAAGCUUUGCUUGGUGUUGGGCGUCUUUUGUCUCCAGUUCGCUGGAGACUCGCCUUAAAGUCAUUGGCAGCCGGCCUACUGGUUUCGGAGCGCAGCACAAGUCGCGCUCUUUGCCAGCCAAGGUCAGCGUCCAGCAAGCCUUUUUUUCAA
rnacentral:rRNA from 1 species